rnacentral:rRNA from 1 species
AACCUGGUUGAUCCUGCCAGUAGUCAUAUGCUUGUCUCAAAGACUAAGCCAUGCAUGUCUAAGUAUAAGUAUUAUACAGCGAAACUGCGAAUGGCUCAUUAAAACAGUUAUAGUUUAUUUGAUAAUCGAAUUUACAUGGAUAACCGUGGUAAUUCUAGAGCUAAUACAUGCUGGUGAGCCCGACUCUCUGGAAGGGCGGUAUUUAUUAGAUAACAAGCCAAUAUUGCUUUGCUCUAUUGUGGUGACUCAUAAUAACUGAUCGAAUCGCAAAGCCUUUGGCUGCGAUACGUCAUUCAAGUUUCUGCCCCAUCAGCUUCCGUUGGUAGUGUAUUGGACUACCAUGGCGUUCACGGGUAACGGAGGAUUAGGGUUCGAUUCCGGAGAGGGAGCCUGAGAAACGGCUACCACAUCUAAGGAAGGCAGCAGGCUCGUAAAUUACCCAAUCCUGAU